rnacentral:lncRNA from 12 species
AUGGGAGCCUGCCCCAGAGAGAGGGGAUUUGGGAUUUGUCGUCUGAGCCUGCAGAGCCAGCACUCCUGCCCCCGCCCCCGACGGCCAUCGAAGGUGCUUCUCGAACACAGAGGGAGACAAAGGAACGAUGGAACGAUGAGCUGCCGCGCGGUCACAGGAGCAAGGAGGGAGCUCCCGAGGCUCCCGGGCCCAGGGAGAGGCAGCUCUGCUACGUCGAAGGGCCAGCAGCAUCUGGAUUUGCUGGGGUGGCAAAGACGCACCCACGAAAUGAAAAUGCACAUUCCUGGGCCCCGCGGAGUCGCCAUCUCUGCGUUCUCCACUGAGGAUGAAGCCAGGGAUCUGCACUUUUACCAGGCGACUCCCAGCUCGUGCAACACGAGUAGCGCUGCCGUGAAAACAUCCCACGCCCUCCGUGACCAGGGCCCUCCCAGGGCACCCACACCAAGGCUCCUGCACCCCCAGACCCGAGCGUUAGCAGCUUCCUGGCUCCGCCUGCCCCUCCCUCUCUGA